rnacentral:lncRNA from 1 species
UUUAAGUGGAAGCCAAUAAAAAUGGAUUUAAAAAGUAGAGCUGCCCUGGAGUCCCGGGAUUACCAUUAUAAUUGAGAAUAGUAUUUCUUACUGAGUUUUGGUUUUUUAAAUAUUUGUUCUUAAGUUUUUUAAACCUAUUUCUCUUACACAGAACAUACUGAGCUUUCUAACAGUAAAGAUAAAAAUCUAUUCUCUUGUAUUAGGGAAAAAACCCAUGGACUAUCUAAUAAUAAGGAAAAUAAGUGCAUUUGAAGCCAAUCUCUCUUAAUUCAAAGCUCAUUUCCAUAGUGACCCAUUUGGAGCAGGAGUGCCUGACAUUGACAUCUGGGAUCCUGACACCAUUGAUAGAAGUGAAUCAAGCAAGUUUGUGCCACCCAGAAGAAACCUCCACCUGCAUUGGGAAGCUCUGGCAACUGUACCCCUAAAACUCUUAAUUCCUCAAAUGUUAAUGUUUGCCACAAAUAGUAUUGUCAAAUGGGGAUUAGGUACAAUUCAAGAGAUUUCUUGAUUAUUGGACAUAACAUACAGUUUUAUAAUACUUCUCAAAUGCAGAUGGUCAUGGAGUCCUUCUCUUGGGGUAUAAUACUUCUGGUAAAGCAAAUAUUCUUUGGAAUAUAGUUUAAGAAACACUGCUUUAGUGAGAAUAAUUUAGAUCAUUAAUUUAUGUAAAAAACUUAAAAUGUUUGCUACUAUGUCUUAGGGUUUUGGGGGUAUAGAGACAAAAGAUACAGACCUUGCCUCAAGAAGCUCUUGGUUUCAGUGGGACACAGUGAAAUGAUUACAAUGUACCAUGCUAAGUGCUGUGAUCAAAGCAAGGAUUCUUGGGACUGGUAAAUGUCUAAAGUGAGUUUUGGCAAUGACCACAGUUAAUCCGGGGAGACAGAGGAGGAUUGUUUGCAAGGCAAAGAGCAGCACAUCAGAAAGCACAGAGUGAGAAGGAAGGGACUGCUUUUCUUUUACUUCCUUUCUAUAUUGUAUGUUGAAGUUCAAAGCACCUUAGAGAAGAUUUUCAGUUCAGUUGAGAAAUAUGUAAUUUUCUGAAUUACUAAUUUUUUCUGCUGUUUUAUAGGACAGUAAUACCCCACUUUUAUUCGCUAUAAUUUGCAAGAAAGAGAAAAUGGUGGAAUUUUUAUUGAAAAACAAAGCAAGUACACAUGCCGUUGAUAGGCUGAGAUGGUACAGUAGUUCUUUUUUUUUUUAAAUAAAAACUGUGUAUUCUAGAGUGGUAACAGUCACUGAAGUCAGAAAUAUUAAUAAGAAGAUUAACGUAAUUAUUGGCAUAUAGUGAAAAAUAUCACCAUGAAUAAUCAGAUAGAUCAGCAAAUAUUUGGACUGAGUAACAUAAAGAACAGUAUAUAGUAGGAUUCAUCUUCUCCUAAAUAUAGAGUGUUUGUUAUUUAUAAUUGGAUGUUUUUGGUACUGUAAUCUUGUAUUAGCUAAAGGGUUUUGUAUUAGCUUUAUUAAGUUUUUUUGGAGAUGCAAUCUGGCUCUGUUGCCAGGCUGGAGUACAGUGGUGUGAUGGCUCACUGCAACCUCCACCUCUCAGGCUCAAGUGAUUCUCCUGCCUCAGCCUUCCAAGUAGCUGGGGCUACAGGUGCACGCCGCCAUGCCCAGCUAAUUUUUGUAUUUUUAGUAGAGAUGGGAUUUCACCAUGUUGGCCAGGAUGGUCUCGAUCUCUUGACCUCGUGAUCUGCUCUCCUUGGCUCCUCAAAGUGCUGGGAUUACAGGCAUGAGCCACUGCACCUGGCCAGUUUUAUUAAUUUUUAAAGUGUGGACUUUUAGUUUAUGACUACUAGCAUUGUCAUUAUUAUUAUUGUUGUUGUUGUUGUUGUUGUUUUCAGCCUGCAGAUAGCUCUUAUCUGACCCCUAGCUGAUUUGAAUUAUAUAUCAGACUAGGAAAGCAAUGGCGAAAUCUUCAUCUAAAUCUUUACCUACUUUAGAUAAGUGACCUCAGCACAGUUUCUUGGCCAUCAAAGGACUAUGAGUUAGCAACUUGUAUUAUGUCAUACCCCAGUGGGACAAGAGGCUUCCUUGUUGUCCUUUUCUUUCAGCCUUGGUGAUAAUUUACAAAGAUGAACACUUGAGCACCCUAGAUGCUUAUAGACCCAAGCUAGUACAUGCAAAAUGUUAUUAUGUCUACACUGACAGGUGGAUAUUAAAUUGGUAAAGUGUAUCAAACUAGCUGUUUAAAAAAGUCUCUAUUAAAGUUCUUGAG